rnacentral:lncRNA from 1 species
GGCCCGCUGAUGCUGCAUGGAAGCAUUCAAAGUGAAAAAAAAUCUUCAUAUACCUUCCUGUAAGUGCAUCUCCCCUUCUUAAUUUGGGUUCUCUCGCUGUCCCGCUUACCUGUUCUGCUUCGCCCAUCAUUCAGAGUUAGGUUGGUUCAUGAGAUCAGAUAAUGUACUGCCAUUUAUUUUACCCAACUGCUACAUUCAAGAUCGAGGAGUACAAGUGUGUAUUGAUCUGAACACAAAGUGUUACAAUAGCUUAUCUCUGCAAGUGGAUAAGGUGGUCAUAUAUCAGCCUGCACUUUUGGACCAAAACACUUUUACAUGGGCUUCUUCGGAGGAAAAGGAAACCCCACCUGAACUUUUAGCUUUUUUUAUAUGUGAGAUCACUUGCUGAGUUUUCCCACAUGAUAGAUUUUCUUAUGAAUUCAUGGGAUUUUAGAUUUUAAUCAGGUCAUGCAGUUCUGAGUUUUAAUUCAUGUGCAAUAGUCAAAAUAUUGCAGGCUUGAACUGAGUAUUUACAUUUCAGUUAAAUUUUGUUCACCAAUGUCAGCCAAUGUGAGAGCAAAGUUUUCCUCCGAUUAUUCUAAAUUAUCCUUGGACUAUUCUGAAUCUGUAAAUGGAAGUUGAAUUCUGAAUACAUCUAUGCCAUCUAUAAAAUAAGAUGGCCUCGCGUGCCACUGUGCAACACCACGACGAUUAACAUCACCCAGUGAACACUGAACAAGCCUCGAAUCAAUAUGCAUUGGCGAUUUGUGGUUCUGUCCCGUUUAGUAGGGUUGCAUCUCUUCCAUAAUCUUUUGGUAAUUUUGUAGAUUAGGAAGUUUAAUUCUUUUCCGAUGAUAGUUUAAUAGUAGUCAAGAUAUGCGAUCUGCAUGUCCAUUUUACUGUAUAUAUCUGUUUUUACACUUCUAUUAUAGGUGUGGGAGUAUUAUGCCGAGCCUCCCCAGCAAGGUUUUCAAUAUUAAGGGGGAAAUUUGAAGGUGUAUAAGGUAAAGAGACAGAGCUCUAGAUACAUUUACUAAUAAAUUUUCUUUAUACCUUGCAUUAUAAUUACAUAUGGGAAAUACAGAUGAGGUGCCUGAUGUCAGCUACAAUCACAGAUCUAAGAAUAUGUGUUCAUCUGGAAGCCUAUAGACAGAAAUAUGUGUUCAUCUGGAAGCCCAUAGACGCUAAACAAUAUUUUAGUGAUCUUGGAUGCUAUCACCUACAUAGACUAUUUUCCCGUAAUAGUGUGCUUCCAGUUUGUUUGGUUCAUGGACGGUCCGAUGGCAUUUCACCUAGCUCUUCCAGUUUGUUGGUUCAUGGACGGCCAGAUGGUAUCUCCCCUAGCUAACCUGCUUUAAAGUAUCCGGUUGCUAAACCGGCAAAUACUUCUGCAAUUUUCGCUAGCACUAUAUAAUACAUCAAUUGGUUUCUUAUUGUUGAAAUUUUAAGAUCUACAAAUUAGAAGAAUUGUCUUUUUUUAUAGGAUGCCUGUUUUGUGUUGCAAAAUUAGAAGUAUUUUCUAAUGUGGUGCAAAAUUUUGUGUUGUUCUUAUGGCCCAUGGUCCUACGUAAAGUAUUCCAAUACAUUUCCACAAAUCAGUUUUUUAUUUAUUUUUCACGUAACACAUGUUCAUGUCCAAUCAGGGAUGGGUUCAAGCGGUGCUGGGACAUGUAUAGAGAAGGAGCUCAUUAUAUAUGGAGACAAGUUUUGAAUUGGGGCGUGUUGCUUCCUACCUGAUGGUGUAGACGUUAGAUGAGGGAUCUACAUAUAAGUAGAAUGUCACAUAUAUGGAUGUUGUAUCUUGGACGAUUCAUAGAAAAGAAGCCAAAGAACGAUUCAUCAGUUGCAUAUCUUUUUUACCUUCUACAUGUUAUUUUUUUCUCCAUAAGUUGGUCUGCACUUCAAAAAA